ACUGUUUAAGGAAUUUGUGCUGCUGUUGCAUGCCUGCCCAGGCGGGGCAGCAUGUAGGAAAAAACAAAGCUGUAGACAGGGAUGAGGACCAGGGAGACAGUGGCAAAAACAGUGAUGUUGGAGCCACUGAGCUCCCUGGAUGCUGAAUCCAGACAGGAGAGCAGCCGGGAAUGGAUGUCUGCAUCUACAGGUGAGAGCCAGAUUUCCCAGAGGAAAGAAGGCCAGUACAAGGGCCUAAGUGGACAGCCUGAGAAGAGCACCAUCUGCUGACCCUGAGAGCACGCAGCACCUCGCACUGACUCCUUUGUUGGGCACGGGUUGAGAGUGGUGGACAGGGCACUGGUUAGA